UUCCACGUGUCUUGUUUUGUUUUUAUUUAUUUUGGAUUUUUUUCUUCGUUUGAAUUUUUCUUUGGUUUGUUAAUAACCACCCGAGUCCUAAGCAUGUAUGGACUCAUGCGUAUCUUUUGGUUGUUACUUUGCAUUUUAUAAAUAAAGAGAAAAAAGGCUCAGUGUUGCACACAGCAACAAAAAACAAAAAAAAACAAAUCUCCCUUCUCUCUUCUAUCCCACAAAAUCAUCUCGUUCAAUCAUUUUCUUUUUAUCAAUUUUAUUUUUUUUCAAAAUGAAAAAUCAGAAAAACAAAUGCAUGCACUCUUGAUGAUUUUCUAACAAAGAAGGAGGUCUGCAUUUGCGGUAUAUAGGCUGCCUUCGGGUCUUUGGAGAUGUAAUCGGGUCGAAGAUUUGGUAACUUCCGAGCAUUUUUAUGCUCUCUUUGCUGUUUCUUCUUUUUUGUUCUUCUUCAUUCUUCUUCCAUGGCAGACGAGACACACUCUGGUACUGCUACUUUUUGUUUUGGUCGAUAUGAACCUUACCUUGUGAAAUAUUAUAUAAGGUCCUUAAUGUGUAUAUCACACUCUCGUUUGUGGUAAAUUACAAUUGUGCCAUCACCUUCCUUCUUAAAAACACUUUUGAAGAGAAGACAGGUCGUCUCCAUGCCGAGAUGAAAGAACCCUGGUUUCACCUCACAGUGAUAGAAAACAGAGCAUACAACUUCGAUAGUGAUAUUGGACCUGAUCUUCUCAGCCAUGGCGGAUUAAUCUAUAUGGUUACAGGAAUCUGUGAUGGAAAAGCUUGAGGAGAGGAAGACGGAGAUCCGGCUUCAGACUCGAGCCUUGGGACCAAAAUGCGCUGUCUCUUUCCUUGGGGGUCGCUUUUACAAGAAUGGAAGAAAUAUGUGGUCGAAGUAAAAGUCAUGCAUGGUCCAACAUGAGUGACUUGAGAUAAUCAUCAAGACCGGGAAGACGAUGGUCAUCGUCGUAAGUGUACAUAAGGGGAA